rnacentral:rRNA from 1 species
AGUGGAUGGGGAGCAACCUAGUUGUGCGUGUGUAAAGGUAGUGCCAAGAAAAGCGAUGAUCAUGUUGAAAAUCAAUUCCCGGUACCCGAAACCGACACAGGUGGGCAAGUAGAGAAUACUAAGGGGCGCGAGGUAACUCUCUCCAAGGAACUCGGCAAAAUGACCCCGUAACUUAGGGAGAAGGGGUGCCACCGAGAGGUGGUCGCAGUGAAGGGGCCCAGGCGACUGUUUAGCAAAAACAUAGGUCUCUGCAAACUCGAAAGAGGAGGUAUAGGGGCUGACGCCUGCCCAGUGCCGGAAGGUUAAAGAAGUUGGUCAGUCUUAGGAUGAAGCUAGCGACUGAAGCCCCGGUGAACGGCGGCCGUAACUAUAACGGUCCUAAGGUAGCGAAAUUCCUUGUCGGGUAAGUUCCGACCCGCACGAAAGGCGUAACGAUCUGGGCGCUGUCUCGGAGAGAGGCUCGGCGAAAUAGGAUUGUCUGUGAAGAUACGGACUACCUGCAUUUGGACAGAAAGACCCUAUGAAGCUUUACUAUAGCUUGGAAUUGUGUUCGGGCUUCCUGUGCGCAGGAUAGGUGGGAGGCGUAGAAGGUAUUCUUGUGGGGAUACUGGAGCCAACGGUGAGAUACCACUCUCAGGAGGCUAGAAUUCUAACUUAAUUAAGGACAGUUUCAGGUGGGUAGUUUGACUGGGGCGGUCGCCUCCAAAAAGGUAACGGAGGCGUACAAAGGUUCCCUCAGACUGGUUGGAAAUCAGUCGAAGAGUGCAAAGGCAGAAGGGAGCUUGACUGCGAGAAGUACAGUUCGAGCAGGGUGGAAACACGGUCUUAGUGAUCCGACGGUGCUGUGUGGAAGGGCCGUCGCUCAACGGAUAAAAGUUACUCUAGGAUAACAGGCUGAUCUCCCCCAAGAGUUCACAUCGACGGGGAGGUUUGGCACCUCGAUGUCGGCUCAUCGCAACCUGGGGCGGAAGUACGUCCCAAGGGUUGGGCUGUUCGCCCAUUAAAGCGGUACGUGAGCUGGGUUCAGAACGUCGUGAGACAGUUCGGUCCAUAUCCGAUGUAGGCGUGAGAAUAUUGAGAGGAGCCUUCCUUAGUACGAGAGGACCGGGAAGGACGCACCGCUGGUGUACCUGUUAUGAUGCCAAUUGUAAACGCAGGGUAGCCAAGUGCGGAGAGGAUAACCGCUGAAAGCAUCUAAGUGGGAAGCCCACCUCAAGAUGAGUAUUCUGGUGUAAGGUCACGGGAAGACGACCCGUAAAUAGGCACGAGGUGGAAGUGCAGAGAUGUAUGAAGCCGAAGUGUACUAAUAGACCGUCGGCUUGACC